GGGGAGCAAACAGGAUUAGAUACCCUGGUAGUCCACGCUGUAAACGAUGUCGAUUUGAAGGUUGUUCCCUUGAGGAGUGGCUUUCGGAGCUAACGCGUUAAAUCGACCGCCUGGGGAGUACGGCCGCAAGGUUAAAACUCAAAUGAAUUGACGGGGGCCCGCACAAGCGGUGGAGCAUGUGGUUUAAUUCGGUGCAACGCGAAGAACCUUACCUACUCUUGACAUCCAGAGAACUUAGCAGAGAUGCUUUGGUGCCUUCGGGAACUCUGAGACAGGUGCUGCAUGGCUGUCGUCAGCUCGUGUUGUGAAAUGUUGGGUUAAGUCCCGCAACGAGCGCAACCCUUAUCCUUUGUUGCCAGCGAUUCGGUCGGGAGCUCAAAGGAGACUGCCGGUGAUAAACCGGAGGAAGGUGGGGAUGACGUCAAGUCAUCAUGGCCCUUACGAGUAGGGCUACACACGUGCUACAAUGGCGUAUACAAAGAGAAGCGACCUCGCGAGAGCAAGCGGAACUCAUAAAGUACGUCGUAGUCCGGAUUGGAGUCUGCAACUCGACUCCAUGAAGUCGGAAUCGCUAGUAAUCGUAGAUCAGAAUGCUACGGUGAAUACGUUCCCGGGCCUUGUACACACCGCCCGUCACACCAUGGGAGUGGGUUGCAAAAGAAGUAGGUAGCUUAACCUUCGGGAGGGCGCUUACCACUUUGUGAUUCAUGACUGGGGUGAAGUCGUAA
rnacentral:rRNA from 1 species